UCACCCGUCCCAAACUUUCUGUCAGCUGCGAAGCCGGCGGGACCCGCCCAGAGGGCGGGCGGAAGCGAACCGUGCCGCGGCCACGACCGCUCUAGGCAGCUUCCUUCGGCUCGGGAGGGAGCCGCGCUUUCCCCGUUUAUCCCUGGGCACCCUGAGCCGCUGCCGGCAGCCCUGGGGGGGCCUUGAGUCCGGAGCAGGGCGGACAGGAGCGCCACUUGGAGCCAAAGAUUCAGGCAGCGCGGGGUUUGGACGUGGGCUGGGGGUCACUGUUCAUUUUGGCAUUUCUGUUGUCAGGGUUGGAAGAGGCCGCUGGUUAGUGGGCCCCUUGCCCGAGGGUGUAGGCUCCUAAAGCUCCCCUGACGUUUUCACCGCGUUCCUCCGAACCCCCCACCCCCGCCCACGGGGGCUGAAAGUCGCAGGACUUUUGAUGGCCCUUAUGUGUCUGGGGUGGGGAUGGGAGGGCCCGUGUAGACGAGCCACCCGUUUACGCCUGGGGGUGAUGAAGCGGGACCCGCCGCAAGAUUUGAGGGGCCCAGUGCAAAAUGAAAAUGCCAGGUUCCUUGCUCAUGAGUUAUUAGGAACUCCAAAACGGUGAAAAGCAGAGCAUUAAACCCAGCGCCGGCGCCUGCGACCCCACAGGUCGUGGCCCGUGAACCUGUCGCUGUGCUUCCGGGACUGUGGGCCCCGAACAGAUGCUGGAACCCUCCAUUACGAAGGGCUCCCUGUGUGGUCUCGCUUUUUAGUUUUCCUUGUUAUUGCCGUUUGCCCUCCCCAGUGCUUUUGGAUGGAUCUUCGUCACCGUUCUAGGAUUGCUCACCAUCCUCAAGCUUGAAAACCCACUGAAGGUCAGGCAUCUUUAAGUGCUGAGUUGAACAGUGCAUUUCAUAUGCACUGAAGGCUGGGUGGGGCUGGCUUUUUCCCUGGCGUCUUCCUCUGAAGCUGGCAGAAUGAUGGAGAGAUGGUACUGACUGCAUGAAAGCAACCCCUUCAGCCAAUUCCUGUCUUCCUGGGAAGACCCCUGGAAGAAACAGGCCUCUUGAGCACUUGAUGCAGAUGACCACGAGUGGAUAGCCAUCAGCAGGAGGAUGGAUUCAUGAAAGCUCAACAUUUCCUGCUAAUCCAUGAACCAUAAUGACUCCCAGGAUGCCCUAUGAUAAGUAUAUCCCACCUGUUUCCAAACCUCUGUCAGUGCAGAACAAGGCUGCGGCGAAUUAGGCCUGAAAUUACACUCACAGUUGUGUUUUGGUUUUUCUCUAGGGAAUGCUUUGCUGGUCUUCCAGCUUUCUGUCUGCCCUUGCUCUAAAGGAUGGGUUCUCCGAGUGCAAGCUUUGGCCAAGUUCCCACACAUACUCCAUGUAGAAAAGAAGCUGGUGCCCCCUCUGCUGCAUGCCACAUUUAUUUAUUUGAGAGAGAGACUCUUGAGCCGACUCCCUGCAGCGCGUGGAGCCUAAAGCAGGGCUUGAUUCCAUGACCCUCAGAGGGUGACCUGAACACGGGGCUGGAUCCCAAGACCCUGAGAUCAUGACGGAGCCAACACCAAGAGUCAGGCGCUCAACCGACUGAGCCACCCAGGUGUCCCUCCUUUGUAAUUUUAAGAUGAAGUCCUCAAAAGCAGGAAACAAAAGCCUGCCCGGAAACAACUUUGACCUUGGAAGUGUCAGCAUCAUGGAUAGCCUUUCAGAUGGCCACAGUUUUGCCUGGUACUUCGGGCAAUUCAGUCAGAUGUGUGAGGCCUGUCGUCCCCCCCCCACCCCCCGGUAUGCCCAUAAGCAUCUGAACAACUGUAAGUCAAAUCCAUCAACAAACUAGUAAAUAAGGACUAGAAGUCACUUCAAACUUUUGAGUCUCCUGAUUUCUUGGAUGUUUGGUUUGGCUUCCCCAGCGGAUGGCUUCACUGAUGGAGAGCAACUCAACCAAGGAAACCGUGGCCCCAAACACUGAGCUGACUUAGGAAGCUCCGUUUAUCUGAUUACAUUUAGAAAUGGUUAUACUCUGUCUUUCAGCAUCAUGCUCCAGUAUUUACUAAGACAAUGUCAUUACCUUAGUAUGUCAGCUCGCCUUAAUUUCCUCCCUUUUGCAGCUCAUCAUGUUCGAAACAUUUGAAAGUAACCUAUUGGAAUGGAUAUUUGAUAUUUGUUGCUCUUUGCCCAUCUACCCUUUCAUAGUCAUCUAUAUCCCUCUGUCUUCUUACCCGGCUCAACUUCUGUGGUCAUUUUUAUCACUCGUUUGCCCUUUUGUUGCUUGUACUUGUUGGCAAAACCACAGUCUGUAAAGUCCAACUCUCUCCAUACUCUGCCCUUGUAUAUGGCCCCAAGAGGAACACAUAUCCAGGUCAACUGAUUUCACACUAAAUUCUUGACUCCGUACCUCAAGUGAACGCUUAACGUAGCCUAGAAUCGCGUCUACUUCCCUGUCCAUUCAUUCUCCUCUUCUAAAGGACAGUUUCAUAUCUUCUCUCCCUGAACUUCCUGUACCUCCUUCCCAGUCUCACAGCUGAUGAACCUGUUUCUUUUUUCAAUAAAGAGUUGGAAGCAAUGAGAAGAGAGCUUCCACAAGUCCCCACCACCUCUGCCCACCCGCCGGCAUCUGUGCCAUCAUAGAUCGAGACCAGGCCUCUUCUUCUAGAUCAGGGCUUCUCAGCAGCUGUGUUGACAUUUGGGACUGAGUAACUCUUGGUCAGGGGUGUCGUUCUGUGCAUGGUAGGAUGCGUCACAGCAUCCCCGGCCUCUACCCACUCGAUGCCCCAGCACCCCUCCCCCGAGUUGUGACCACCCAAAAUGUCCCCUGGUGGGGGGGGGCGAAAUCUUGGGGGCCAUUUGGUAAUGUGUGCAGACACUUUUGGUUGUCACAGCAUGGGUGCAGGGGUUGGUGUGCUGCUGACAUCUAGGGGGUAGGGACCGGGGAUGCUGUGAAACAUCCCGCCAAGCGCACAACAGGCCCCCACGGCAAAGCUUACCCAGUCCCAAAUGUCCAUAGUGCUGUAGCUGAGAAGUCUGGUCCGAGAUGAACUGUCUGCAUUCCUGUCAAAAUCCAGCCCGCCACCUGCUCCUGCCUCCUCCUGGAAAUCACUCUAGCAAGUCUCCUUUCUCCUACAUCAUUGUUUACCUUCUCUGUUCUCUCCUUCAGAUGAGCCUACAAGCAUGCUGCAAUCUCAGCAUUAAAAAGAACUCUUGAGGGGCGCCUGGGUGGCUCAGUUGUUAAGCGUCUGCCUUCA